AGCCGCGGCAGCGAUAUGUAAAUAUUGUUGGGUAGGGGAGCGUUCUGUAAGCCUGUGAAGGUGACCUGUGAGGGUUGCUGGAGGUAUCAGAAGUGCGAAUGCUGACAUAAGUAACGAUAAUGCGGGUGAAAAACCCGCACGCCGGAAGACCAAGGGUUCCUGUCCAACGUUAAUCGGGGCAGGGUGAGUCGACCCCUAAGGCGAGGCUGAAAAGCGUAGUCGAUGGGCAACGGGUUAAUAUUCCCGUACUGGUGGUAACUGCGAAGGGGGGACGGAGAAAGCUAAAUCAUCCGGGCGACGGUUGUCCCGGUUUAAGCGUGCAGGUGGACUGACCAGGCAAAUCCGGUCGGUUGUUAACACUGAGGCGUGACGACGAGCCACUACGGUGGUGAAGUGAUUGAUGCUCUGCUUCCGGGAAAAGCCUCUAAGCUCCAGGUUACCAUUAAUCGUACCCCAAACCGACACAGGUGGUCAGGUAGAGAAUACU
rnacentral:rRNA from 1 species